rnacentral:rRNA from 1 species
GAGGGCAAGUCUGGUGCCAGCAGCCGCGGUAAUUCCAGCUCCAAUAGCGUAUAUUAAAGUUGUUGCAGUUAGAUAGCUCGUAGUUGAAUUUCGGGAUUCUACCGUUGGUCGGGCUAACAAGUCUGUACUGGUGUGUAGAAUUUCUACCUUCUGGGGAACUAUCAUGUUAUUAAUUUAGCGUGGUGGGAAACCAGGACCUUUACCUUGAAAAAAUUAGAGUGUUCAAAGCAGGCUUACGUCUGAAUACAUUAGCAUGGAAUAAUAGAAUAGGACGGUGGUCCUGUUUUGUUGGUUUCUGAAUCACCGUAAUGAUUAAUAGGGAUAGUUGGGGGCAUUAGUAUUCAAUUGUCAGAGGUGAAAUUCUUGGAUUUAUUGAAGACUAACUUCUGCGAAAGCAUUUGCCAAGGAUGUUUUCAUUAAUCAAGAACGAAAGUUAGGGGAUCGAAGACGAUCAGAUACCGUCGUAGUCUUAACCAUAAACUAUGCCGACUAGGGAUCGGACGAUGUUAAAUUUUAUUGACUCGUUCGGCGCCUUACGGGAAAC